CCUACGGGAGGCAGCAGUGGGGAAUAUUGGGCAAUGGGCGCAAGCCUGACCCAGCAACGCCGCGUGAAGGAAGAAGGCCUUCGGGUUGUAAACUUCUUUUGUCAGGGAAGAGUAGAAGACGGUACCUGACGAAUAAGCCACGGCUAACUACGUGCCAGCAGCCGCGGUAAUACGUAGGUGGCAGGCGUUGUCCGGAUUUACUGGGUGUAAAGGGCGUGUAGCCGGGUUGACAAGUCAGAUGUGAAAUCCUGCGGCUUAACCGCAGAACUGCAUUUGAAACUGUUGAUCUUGAGUACAGGAGAGGCAGAUGGAAUUCCUAGUGUAGCGGUGAAAUGCGUAGAUAUUAGGAGGAACACCAGGGGCGAAGGCGGUCUGCUGGACAGCAACUGACGGUGAGGCGCGAAAGCGUGGGGAGCAAACAGGAUUAGAUACCCCGGUAGUC
rnacentral:rRNA from 1 species